rnacentral:rRNA from 1 species
AUUGAACGCUGGCGGCAUGCCUUACACAUGCAAGUCGAACGGUAACGGGCCUUCGGGUGCCGACGAGUGGCGCACGGGUGAGUAAUACAUCGGAACGUGCCCGAUCGUGGGGGAUAACGAGGCGAAAGCUUUGCUAAUACCGCAUACGAUCUACGGAUGAAAGCAGGGGACCGCAAGGCCUUGCGCGGACGGAGCGGCCGAUGGCAGAUUAGGUAGUUGGUGGGAUAAAAGCUUACCAAGCCGACGAUCUGUAGCUGGUCUGAGAGGAUGAUCAGCCACACUGGGACUGAGACACGGCCCAGACUCCUACGGGAGGCAGCAGUGGGGAAUUUUGGACAAUGGGCGCAAGCCUGAUCCAGCCAUGCCGCGUGCAGGAUGAAGGCCUCGGGUUGUAAACUGCUUUUGUACGGAACGAAAAGCCUUCUUUUAAUACAGGAGGGUCAUGACGGUACCGUAAGAAUAAGCACCGGCUAACUACGUG